UUGGGGCUUCACUUGCUGCCUUACCUUGACCGGCCAUGGAUCCUCCAUUGAAUAUGAAGUCCUUUAAUCCAAAUAAGCAUCUCAAGGAAGAGUUUGUAAGCAAUUUAUCAGGAACUUCAAUGCUGGAACUAUUUCUUCUCAUCACUACACUCUCUAUGAUUCUCUUUCUACGUUCAGUAUACUCCAGCACCAAAAAAGGUGAGAAAU